AACUUAUUUACAAUGGCUGU
rnacentral:siRNA from 1 species